ACAACGGCUCUUUUAAGAGCCACCAUAUCACCAAAAGAAAGAGCG
rfam:Chelonia mydas contig244315, whole genome shotgun sequence.